CUCUGAAACUGGUACUCACUCUGGAAGUGUCAAGCCUGUGAGAUUGCUCAGUGGGUAAAGGUGCGUGCUACCAACCCUGAGGAUCAGAGUCGGAUCUCCAAGGCUCACAUGGUACGGUGAAAUGAGAGACAACCCUGGACAAGGAACAGUAGGACAGUCACAGUGCCUAAGCCAAAGGGCUAUGUAAGUGGAGACUCAGAGUGAAGACACUGGAGAGACCCUGACAUCCUUAUUCUGACUCUUCCCUGGGGGGCUGAUAGGAAAUGUGAAGCUGUACAGUCAAGAGCACCACUAAUGAAAAGCAGAGGCAAAUGAGGCCGUAUUGACCCCUGACUUGUCCAGAUAAGGCAGGAUUAUCAUUACUUAGGAGAGUUUUGUUGAAAACAGCAUGGCAAGAGCUGCUUAUAAUUUGCAGGGGGGGCAGAGGAUGGAGGGAGGUUGGAAUAUGAACCUUGAUGUAAAGAGAACCCCACAAGAAUCCAGCUUGUUAAAAAUAAAAGUCACCAAUCUUG
rnacentral:lncRNA from 1 species